rnacentral:rRNA from 1 species
UACGUCGGUGGCAAGCGUUGUCCGGAUUUAUUGGGCGUAAAGCGAGCGCAGGCGGUUUCUUAAGUCUGAUGUGAACGCCCCCGGCUCAACCGGGGAGGGUCAUUGGAAACUGGGAAACUUGAGUGCAGAAGAGGAGAGUGGAAUUCCAUGUGUAGCGGUGAAAUGCGUAGAUAUAUGGAGGAACACCAGUGGCGAAGGCGGCUCUCUGGUCUGUAACUGACGCUGAGGCUCGAAAGCGUGGGGAGCAAACAGGAUUAGAUACCCUGGUAGUCCACGCCGUAAACGAUGAGUGCUAAGUGUUGGAGGGUUUCCGCCCUUCAGUGCUGCAGCUAACGCAUUAAGCACUCCGCCUGGGGAGUACGACCGCAAGGUUGAA